UCCCUGGUGGUCCAGUGGUUAGGAAUCCUCCUUCCAAUGCAGGAGACACAGGUUCAAUCCCUGGUCAGGGGA
rnacentral:tRNA from 1 species